CAACACAGUCCUCCAAAUAUCUAUCCCCUAUUCUUGAACAACACUCAACUGUCACCUUUUCCAUGAUAAACAAUCUCAGUCUAUCCUUAACCCGUCCGCUGUGAUUGGAACGGAUUUGGCCUUCACUGGUAGCCUGGUAACGUAUAGUCCCAUGUCUUUCUCUGCCUCUGUGGUGGAUAGUGGAGUGUUUCCCAUGUGGUAUUGGUGUGCUGGAUAUCCCUUCACUGGUAGCCUGGUAACAUACACUCCCAGGUCUUUCUCUGCCUCUGUGGUGGAUAGUGGAGUGUUUCCCAUGUGGUAUUGGUGUGCUGGAUAUCCCUUCACUGGUAGCCUGGUAACAUACACUCCCAGGUCUUUCUCUGCCUCUGUGGUGGAUAGUGGAGUGUUUCCCAUGUGGUAUUGGUGUGCUGGAUAUCCCUUCACUGGUAGCCUGGUAACAUACACUCCCAGGUCUUUCUCUGCCUCUGUGGUGGAUAGUGGAGUGUUUCCCAUGUGGUAUUGGUGUGCUGGAUAUCCCUUCACUGGUAGCCUGGUAACAUACACUCCCAGGUCUUUCUCUGCCUCUGUGGUGGAUAGUGGAGUGUUUCCCAUGUGGUAUUGAUGUGCUGGAUAUCCCUUCACUGGUAGCCUGGUAACAUACACUCCCAGGUCUUUCUCUGCCUCUGUGGUGGAUAGUGGAGUGUUUCCCAUGUGGUAUUGGUGUGCUGGAUAUCCCUUCACUGGUAGCCUGGUAACAUACACUCCCAGGUCUUUCUCUGCCUCUGUGGUGGAUAGUGGAGUGUUUCCCAUGUGGCAUUGGUGUGCUGGAUAUCCCCUCCCAAGGUGCAGGACUUUACAUUUUCCUUCAUUGAAUUGUAGCAGCCACUUUUUGAUCCAUUCCUGUAGCUUGGUGAGGUCUU